rnacentral:rRNA from 1 species
GCCAUGCCGCGUGGAGGAUGAAGGUCCUCUGGAUUGUAAACUUCUUUUAUUUGGGAAGAAAUGUGAUGAUUCUUUAUCACUUGACGGUACCAGAUGAAUAAGCACCGGCUAACUCCGUGCCAGCAGCCGCGGUAAUACGGAGGGUGCAAGCGUUAUCCGGAUUUACUGGGUUUAAAGGGUGCGCAGGCGGAUAUGUAAGUCAGUGGUGAAAUCUUUAGGCUUAACCUGAAAAUUGCCGUUGAUACUAUAUAUCUUGAAUGUUGUGGAGGUAAGCAGAAUAUGUCAUGUAGCGGUGAAAUGCUUAGAGAUGACAUAGAAUACCUAUUGCGAAGGCAGCUUACUACGCAGAUAUUGACGCUCAUGCACGAAAGCGUGGGGAUCAAACAGGAUUAGAUACCCUGGUAGUCCACGCCCUAAACGAUGAUUACUCGACAUACGCGAUACACUGUGUGUGUCUGAGCGAAAGCAUUAAGUAAUCCACCUGGGAAGUACGAUCGCAAGAUUGAAACUCA